UACAGGGGGUGCAAACGUUGCUCGGAAUCAUUGGGCGUAAAGCGCGCGUAGGCGGUUACUUAAGUCGGAUGUGAAAGCCCUUGGCUUAACUGAGGAAGUGCACCCGAAACUGAGUAGCUUGAGUGCGAAAGAGGGUCGCGGAAUUCCCGGUGUAGAGGUGAAAUUCGUAGAUAUCGGGAGGAACACCGGUGGCGAAGGCGGCGACCUGGGUCGAUACUGACGCUGAGGCGCGAAAGCCAGGGGAGCAAACGGG
rnacentral:rRNA from 1 species